rnacentral:rRNA from 1 species
AGAACGCUGGCGGCGUGCCUAACACAUGCAAGUCGAGCGGAGUCGAUCGACGGAAGCCUUCGGGCGGAAGAUGGUUGACUUAGCGGCGGAUGGGUGAGUAACGCGUGGGCAACCUGCCUCGAAGACCGGGAUAACAGCCCGAAAGGGCUGCUAAUACCGGAUGUGGUCAAGGAUCCGCAUGGAUUUUUGAUUAAAGGGGAAACCCGUUUCGAGGUGGGCCCGCGUCCUAUCAGCUAGUUGGUGAGGUAAAAGCUCACCAAGGCGACGACGGGUAGCCGGCCUGAGAGGGUGACCGGCCACACUGGAACUGAGACACGGUCCAGACUCCUACGGGGGGCAGCAGUGGGGAAUCUUCCACAAUGGGCGAAAGCCUGAUGGAGCGACGCCGCGUGAGCGAAGAAGGCCUUCGGGUUGUAAAGCUCUGUCUGGAGGGACGAAGGAAGUGACGGUACCUCCGGAGGAAGCCACGGCUAACUACGUG